GUGAAUGCUAAUCUAAUGGUUGUAACUUCCGUCGGCAGAAAUCUGUUGCUUCCCCUGGGCGUGGUAUUCUGGCAAUUGAUGAGUCAAAUGCAACAUGUGGAAAGAGGUUAUCAUCUAUUGGUUUGGACAACACAGAAGUGAACCGCCAGGCUUACAGGCAGCUUUUUUGUUUUGUUUUGUUUUGCCAAACUUAUACAGCUGUUCUUUGAAAUGCCUCACCAAGUGGCUACUGUUUUACUGCUAUUCACAUUAUCUGGCCCUGUAAAAGCGUCAACUUAUCUGCUAAUGCAUGGAGUAGUUGGUCUCAUCAUGGGUACUGUUUGGAGAUUGGAGACCAACUGGAUUGUCUCCAUCAUCCUCUGCUCCAUUGUAAAUUCUCUGAAUUUGUUUUAGUACACGGCAUUUUAAAUGUCCUGACUUCUGUGUACAAACCUGUAGCCUCACUACAAACUUCUUCAAUAAUAGAGUUAGUCAUGCAUAAAUUUAUCGUUCUACAUAUAAGAAUCAAAUUGUCAGCUUACAACAUUGUUAUAGUUGUAAAUCUUAUUAAUCUUGGUGUUAGUUCUU